UUGAUGGAGAGGCAUCCCCUCGUCACGCGCUAAAUGUCAUGAAAAAGAGGGUGGGACAUUGCUCCUAAUGGUUGCUAUCGAAGCCAAGCAAUCACAGUGGCCAAAUCUCACUCAAUCAUUAGCCUUCCUGCUCCAAGUCUCAAUCUGGCAAAGUUGAUGCCAGCUCAAGCCGCAUGCAGCUCGACUGUCGGAAUAGUGCUUUUGAUAAGAUGAUACCCACCCACAACCACGAACCUACGGUCGGAUCUACAAAUCACGAAGCCCGCGCCUCCUCUGCUUUCUGUCAUGCU
rnacentral:lncRNA from 1 species